AGGCUGUGGUGGUGCACUGGCUUAGUGGAGUAGUCAGUGUACCAUCACAAGCCUCU
rnacentral:pre_miRNA from 1 species